GUGAGUCUUACAAUGGGAAGAUGGGGGAGGCAGCACACUGGGGUCAGGAGUGGAGAUACUUAGGCUCCCCAGAGAAAUUAGUCACAAGUCUUAUCCCUUCAUCUCCAUUUACAGCCAUUUAUUUGGGAGCAACAUACUUUAAAUGAGUGAUAAACAAAAUGUCUCCCCACAGCCCCCACCCCAGCAUGUGUUCUGAAGUUCACAGGAAGGCUUCUCCUCAUUUGCUUUGGGGCCCGCAGGCUGCCUGCUAACAGCUGGGUCUUCCCAUGAACAAAUUAGACAGUUAAUGUUCCAGGAUGAAGAGGGCUUCGGGGAACAGAAUCUGCCGUUUAUUUGACUUGCUUCAUUAGACACAGUGCCAUCAUACCAAAAUUAGAAAAAAGAAGGAACUCAGCGGAAAUCAGCUACACAAGAAGAACCUCUCAGUUCUGAGAAUUCACAUUAACCAGUGAUUAAGAAAUAUUAAAAAGGGCUGAUAGUCCACUACGUUAUCAAGUUCAAAGCCUAAGAAAUAUUGAACAUUUCCACACAUGAAUGUGGGUACUAUGUUUAAUUUGAGAAUGGCCAACUGUCCUCGAAGUCUCAAUCUCUUUGGAGCCUACCAGCUCCGAGAGAAGUUUGAGGAUGCUGCAAAACCCUCCCCUGCAAAUCCAUCUACUCCUCCCACUUCUAUCCUAAUGGGUAUAGUUCUUGGCUGUGCUGAGGAUCUGUAAGGCACCAGAUGUGAAAGUAAGGAAGAAAGAUGGAUGUGGAAGAAAGUCACUGCCCAGAGAAUAAGGAGACCUGGAUUCUAAUCUCAGCUCUGCCAUUAACUAGCUAUGAAACUAUGGCUCAAAAGGGAAUAAGAGAUCAAGGCAAGCAUGGACAUCUUGUACGUGGAAGUGCAGACCAGAACUUGUAUCACAGCCAGUCAUAUCUGGUGCUUUCCAUGCUACUUUUACAUACAUGUAUCCUUAAAUUUGAUCCUCUUCUAGUUUAGUCUAAACUCUUUACUUUGUAACUUCCAAACCUAAAAGGUGCAGCAGACAUUGACAAUCUUAAUUCAUUUGUCAGGUCAUUUGGUUUCUUGGUUUCCUAAGGGACUGUAUCCUUCCUGCCCUGCUAAUGGGGAGACUUUUUGUUUUUUGUUUUCUGUUUUCCUUAAUAAGUGAGGCCAAGUGCUGUGUGUAACUGUGGGGUGGGCAAAAUUAGGAUUCCUGAAUCACUUCACUUUUUGUUGCCUUUCUCUUGGGAGAAUGGUUACCAUUGCAGAGAAGCAUAGUUAAAAUUGCUUUUGUGUUUCAUAAACGAAUUCAUACUUAGAUGUCAUUGACCAACAACUAAAUAGUAUAUCAGAGAUGAAAGGCAUCCUAGAGAUGACCAAAUCAAGCUCUUCAUUACUCAAAGGAGAAAAAAAUCCAGAAAGUGGAUGACAUAUGUUGAACUAGUGAUGGAAGUAGAACAGGGUAGUGUAUUUUCUGCCUCUUAAUUCUUCAUUUUUUACACUAAACCAGAUAUUAGGUAUAUGACUAGGAAGAUACGUGAGGUAAGGAGCAGAGGGUUUGGCUCCAAACUCAUCAUGUAGUCAUCCUCCUCCAAGCUCUGAGAGCUUCUCUCACAUGUUAAUUCAGAGGCAGUAACAAAAGAAUUAAUGCUCCUGAAGGUUUCUCAAUUUUAUCAUCUGGAAAGUGGAGUGAACCUUUGCAGAGUCCUUCUGAAGAGGGCUGACCUUGGACUGCACUAGGUUAUAUUCAUUUGCUAUUACUCAGCAAUAAAAAGUAAAUGCAACAAUAUAAA
rnacentral:lncRNA from 1 species